rnacentral:rRNA from 1 species
GAAUUCGCCCUUAGAGUUUGAUCCUGGCUCAGGACGAACGCUGGCGGCGCGCCUAACACAUGCAAGUCGAACGAGCGAGAGAGAGCUUGCUUUCUUGAGCGAGUGGCGAACGGGUGAGUAACGCGUGAGGAACCUGCCUCAAAGAGGGGGACAACAGUUGGAAACGACUGCUAAUACCGCAUAAGCCCACGGGUCGGCAUCGACCAGAGGGAAAAGGAGCAAUCCGCUUUGAGAUGGCCUCGCGUCCGAUUAGCUGGUUGGUGAGGUAAUGGCCCACCAAGGCGACGAUCGGUAGCCGGACUGAGAGGUUGAACGGCCACAUUGGGACUGAGACACGGCCCAGACUCCUACGGGAGGCAGCAGUGGGGAAUAUUGCACAAUGGGGGAAACCCUGAUGCAGCGACGCCGCGUGGAGGAAGAAGGUCUUCGGAUUGUAAACUCCUGUUGUUGGGGAAGAUAAUGACGGUAUCCAACAAGGAAGUGACGGCUAACUACGUGCCAGCAGCCGCGGUAAAACGUAGGUCACAAGCGUUGUCCGGAAUUACUGGGUGUAAAGGGAGCGCAGGCGGGAAGACAAGUUGGAAGUGAAAUCCAUGGGCUCAACCCAUGAACUGCUUUCAAAACUGUUUUUCUUGAGUAGUGCAGAGGUAGGCGGAAUUCCCGGUGUAGCGGUGGAAUGCGUAGAUAUCGGGAGGAACACCAGUGGCGAAGGCGGCCUACUGGGCACCAACUGACGCUGAGGCUCGAAAGUGUGGGUAGCAAACAGGAUUAGAUACCCUGGUAGUCCACACCGUAAACGAUGAUUACUAGGUGUUGGAGGAUUGACCCCUUCAGUGCCGCAGUUAACACAAUAAGUAAUCCACCUGGGGAGUACGACCGCAAGGUUGAAACUCAAAGGAAUUGACGGGGGCCCGCACAAGCAGUGGAGUAUGUGGUUUAAUUCGACGCAACGCGAAGAACCUUACCAAGUCUUGACAUCCGUUGACCGACAUAGAAAUAUGUUUUUCCUUCGGGACAGCGAGACAGGUGGUGCAUGGUUGUCGUCAGCUCGUGUCGUGAGAUGUUGGGUUAAGUCCCGCAACGAGCGCAACCCUUAUGGUCAGUUACUACGCAAGAGGACUCUGGCCAGACUGCCGUUGACAAAACGGAGGAAGGUGGGGAUGACGUCAAAUCAUCAUGCCCUUUAUGACUUGGGCUACACACGUACUACAAUGGCGUUAAACAAAGAGAAGCAAGACCGCGAGGUGGAGCAAAACUCAGAAACAACGUCCCAGUUCGGACUGCAGGCUGCAACUCGCCUGCACGAAGUCGGAAUUGCUAGUAAUCGUGGAUCAGCAUGCCACGGUGAAUACGUUCCCGGGCCUUGUACACACCGCCCGUCA